rfam:Karenia brevis plastid psbC mRNA for photosystem II CP43 protein, partial cds.
CAUAAUUAGCUAUUAUUAUAGGAUUUAGGGUCGGUGCUGUAACUCGAACUACAUCUCCACCUCCUGCAGCCCAGGUAUCGUAAAUACCUCCGAAGUAAAGGGCCUUAGCAACAAGUAAAUAACAUCCAAAACCGAGAAGUAUUAGAUGAAAACCUAGAAUUGUUGUCAUUUUAUUUUUGUCACGCCA